rnacentral:rRNA from 1 species
GACGAACGCUGGCGGCGUGCUUAACACAUGCAAGUCGAACGGAAAGGCCCUGCUUUUGUGGGGUGCUCGAGUGGCGAACGGGUGAGUAACACGUGAGUAACCUGCCCUUGACUUUGGGAUAACUUCAGGAAACUGGGGCUAAUACCGGAUAGGAGCUCCUGCUGCAUGGUGGGGGUUGGAAAGUUUCGGCGGUUGGGGAUGGACUCGCGGCUUAUCAGCUUGUUGGUGGGGUAGUGGCGUACCAAGGCUUUGACGGGUAGCCGGCCUGAGAGGGUGACCGGCCACAUUGGGACUGAGAUACGGCCCAGACUCCUACGGGAGGCAGCAGUGGGGAAUAUUGCACAAUGGGCAGAAGCCUGAUGCAGCAACGCCGCGUGCGGGAUGACGGCCUUCGGGUUGUAAACCGCUUUCGCCUGUGACGAAGCGUGAGUGACGGUAAUGGGUAAAGAAGCACCGGCUAACUACGUG